CUGAAAAAUCAUACAUCUGAGACACAUCCAACAGAUCAACAAACAUACAUGGGAAAAUGUGCUCUGAAAUAUGUUUGUAUCCAGCUGAUGGCUCUUUUGUGUCAAUUACCUGCUAACUCUGAUCUGCCUCAGCUCAUUAUUAUAUGUGAGCUGCAUUAUCGUGUCUUAGAAUGAUGACUGGGAAAUGUAUACACAUUUGUAAGUACUUCCAUACUUAUU
rnacentral:lncRNA from 1 species